CCUACGGGAGGCAGCAGUGGGGAAUCUUGCGCAAUGGGCGAAAGCCUGACGCAGCAACGCCGCGUGCGGGAAGAAGGCUUUCGGGCUGUAAACCGCUUUCAGCAGGAACGAAAAUGACGGUACCUGCAGAAGAAGGAGCGGCCAACUAUGUGCCAGCAGCCGCGGUGAUACAUAGGCUUCAAGCGUUGUCCGGAUUUAUUGGGCGUAAAGAGUUCGUAGGCGGUCGAGUAAGUCGGGUGUGAAAAUUCUGGGCUCAACCCAGAGACGCCACCCGAUACUGCUUGACUUGAGUUCGAUAGGGGAGUGGGGAAUUCCUAGUGUAGCGGUGAAAUGCGCAGAUAUUAGGAGGAACACCGGUGGCGAAGGCGCCACUCUGGAUCGAUACUGACGCUGAGGAACGAAAGCAUGGGUAGCAAACAGGAUUAGAUACCCUGGUAGUCCAUGCCGUAAACGGUGGGCACUAGGUGUGGGUUUCUAUUAACGAAAUCCGCGCCGUCGCUAACGCAUUAAGUGCCCCGCCUGGGGAGUACGGUCGCAAGCUAAAACUUAAUGAAUUGACGG
rnacentral:rRNA from 1 species